rnacentral:misc_RNA from 1 species
GAGGUUAACUGCUUAGCUUUUAAUCCUUUCAAUGAAUGGGUUGUUGCAACGGGAUCCACUGACAAAACUGUCAAGUUAUUCGAUAUACGUAAAAUCAACACAGCCCUUCACACAUUUGACUGUCACAAGGAGGAGGUUUUCCAAGUUGGGUGGAAUCCCAAGAAUGAAACUAUCUUAGCUUCUUGUUGCCUUGGUAGAAGGCUCAUGGUGUGGGAUCUCAGCAGGAUUGAUGAAGAACAGACACCA